rnacentral:rRNA from 1 species
UACGAAGGGGCGUAGCGUUGUUCGGAAUUACUGGGCGUAAAGCGCACGUAGGCGGAUUGACAAGUCAGAGGUGAAAUCCCGGGGCUCAACCUCGGAACUGCCUUUGUUACUGUCAGUCUAGAGUCCGGAAGAGGUGGGUGGAAUUCCUAGUGUAGAGGUGAAAUUCGCAGAUAUUAGGAAGAACACCGGUGGCGAAGGCGGCCCACUGGUCCGGUACUGACGCUGAGGUGCGAAAGCGUGGGGA